AAAAAAAAAUCACUACCAAUCCACUUUACCUUUCCGGAUAGGAUCCCGGUUCUGGAACCAGUAUACCCGCUCUACAUGAGGCGAUCACCCGAUCUCAUCUCCCUUAUUUUAGCCAUUAGAUUGUCAGCUGUCAUGCCACCUCUCACCAUCAAUGGUGAGCUGGUAUACAGCCGAACAUUGUUUUCCUUCAGUCUGGGCGUAUAAUUGUUUUCUUAUUUAUUUUUACAGCACAUCCUCACUCUGCCUUUGUGAUUUCGUGCAAGCUGCCAUUUCUCUCACUUAACAGGAUAUCUCCACUCUGUUAUUAAUAAUUUCGGCAGGCUGACAUUGCUCGCACUUCAACAGGAUCGUAUUAUACUUUGCAUCAUCUUAUAAUAAACAUAAUUGAUAUUAAUUUCUAAAAUUUUAAUUUGUUUACAUAACACAUUUUUUGUACAACUUUAUACUGAACAGAGGACGAAAACACCAGCCAAAGUUAUUGCCAGUCGCAAAGAAAAUAAAACAAAGGCAAAUGAUAUCAAUACAAGACGCAAUAACCUAUUUGGCCUUUCUUUCACUGUUCGCACUCUAGGAAGUUUUUCUUAAGAGAAAUUUGGCUCAGGGGUCUCCAACAAGAGUCUGCGUCUGACUCUGUCUGCUACUCGGGGCGAGGAAGGACAACACGGAAUAGACUCACUCGGAUGAUGUGCGCUUCGCCAGUGGCCGCUUCUUAACCAAUCCUCAUUGCGCCAAAAUCGGGCCUUUUGGGUGACCUGCUGGCCUCUCUGGGCCGACAGCUUCUUGGACGGCCUGAACUGUCGAGCGUGGAUCCUUGCCGUUGGAUCUGCUGCCCGUUUCUUUUAUUUAUUAGCUUGUGCUUUAUUUCUGUUCAUCCGUGUGGGCUUAAAGUUUUAAAUUUUUGUAUUUUGUGUUUCAGGACUUAACAUACAAAAAAAUUCCUUGUUAUUCUUUUCUUUUUUAGUACAUAUCGGCUUUGGUUGGUCGGUUAAAAUUUGUCUUCGAGUACUUUUAUACGGGGCUGGCAUAAAAACAAGGAAAACAACUUUAAUGUGGUUUCGAGCACGGCACGCCCGUCGUUGACCGCUCACAAAAUCAAACUCCCUGCUGGACAUUUGGGCAGCUCCAUCAUAGGUGCCAAAAGUCGGCAAACGCAUACAUUCAAAUAUGGUCGUCGUUGCUGCCCACAGUUACAUUCUUAGGUCAACGGGCCAGUCAACGGCAUCGGCAAAGGCAUCCAAUCCGCUUAUUACCCUACGAGUGAAUCAGGCGGGCAACCCCCUAUUCUCUCUCACCUUUUUUCAUUCAAUU